UUUUAUUUGAUUUUUUUUUAAUUUGAAAACAGAUUUCAAAAAGGGCAGUUUAUGUUAUUCCGAAACUGCCCUGGGUCGUUUUGAGAAAUCUUUCUACCUGGUAGCGUUGUCUUUCUCUACAUUUUAGGUUUUGGUUUUUGGUUUGAAACGCUCUCUUCGAAUUUUAGGUUUUCGGUUUGAAGCGCUCUCUCUCUCUUUGCAUUUUAGCUUUUCGUUCUCGCAGGCAAAGGUUUGGAAGCUGUGUGUGUCUCUCCAUUUUAGGUUUUGUUUUUUCUUUGAAGCCCCAUGUCCAUCCAUUGGAGCUUUUCGUUCUCGUUUGUAGGUAUUGCAUUAAGUGUGUUAACUUUGUUGAAGGUGUCGAAGUGGUAAGGGAUUUCGUUCGUGGUUGGGUUUGACAUUUGAGUUCGACAUUACGGUUGGGUGGUCAUUGGGUUUGUAUUUCGUGGAAGUUGUUACCUUUUUUAUGCCAUGGAUUCUUCCCUUGACAUUGACUCUUCCAACAAGUUAUAUGUUCGCCACUCUAUGAAAACAAAGUUUGCAGUGGCUUGCCAUUUGGGCUCAACAGUCUCCAGAAAAAUUUUCCUUGCAAUCGAGGUGUUGGAAGAUAAAAGAUAAUGAUAAAGUUGGCGUAUAGCAAAACAAUGGUGAUGCAGAUGCAGCCAAAACCAGCCCACCAUUUACUCCCAGACUCCUCCAAUUUUCAUCACUCAUCAUUUCAAUAAUUAAAUCCUUCUGCAGGAUUCAUACUUACAUAACUAACAUUUAU